CCCUCCCCUACCGUGGUGCGGGCUGCAGUAUUAGCGGUCUCCUUGGAGUCUUGAAGCAGCUCAAGGGCAUCGUCCUUGGUGCGCCUCCUCAAGGCUUGAUGCUUUCUACAGGAAAAAAUGAUUCUUUUCUUUGAGAUGACGAAAAUUACUUCCCUUUCUACAGGAAAAGAUGGUUCUGUUAGAUAAAUGUCUUCCCAAGUUAAAGGCACAUGGCUCCGAAGUACUAAUAUUCUCUGAGGGGCACCAUAACAUAUGAAAAUUUUGAAGAGCUUUGUGAAGAUUUGUGGGAGCAGCUCCGACUCCAAUUAAAGAAGUUCCACGCAGCGGGCAUGAAGAUUGGUCACAUCUAUAUGUUUAGUUGUGCUGCAGGACAUGUGCUAUUCUGAAAAUGGAGCUUCUCUAUUGGAUGGCAGCUCAUGAUGGUAGUUUCAGAUAUGAAGCUAAGGAAAGCGCGCCUCAUAAUUCAUUAGAUGUAUCCCAGUAGGGCCAAUUAGAUAUUGUUGGUUGUAAAUGACAUGAGUUUUUAGCUUUCAUAAAAUCUAGAUUUGUACUCUUUAACAAUAAGCUGUGGAGGAGAGUGGUCUUAAAUGUGCUGGUUGAAUUUACCAAUGUUGGUUAUUUUGGUUUUACUGUCCA